rnacentral:tRNA from 1 species
GUGCCCGUAGCUCAGCUGGAUAGAGUGUUGGUCUCCGAAGCCGAAGGUCCUGAGUUCGAAUCUCAGCGGGCACG